rnacentral:rRNA from 1 species
AUGGGUAAAGAAGCACCGGCUAACUACGUGCCAGCAGCCGCGGUGAUACGUAGGGUGCGAGCGUUGUCCGGAUUUAUUGGGCGUAAAGGGCUCGUAGGUGGUUGAUCGCGUCGGAAGUGUAAUCUUGGGGCUUAACCCUGAGCGUGCUUUCGAUACGGGUUGACUUGAGGAAGGUAGGGGAGAAUGGAAUUCCUGGUGGAGCGGUGGAAUGCGCAGAUAUCAGGAGGAACACCAGUGGCGAAGGCGGUUCUCUGGGCCUUUCCUGACGCUGAGGAGCGAAAGCGUGGGGAGCGAACAGGCUUAGAUACCCUGGUAGUCCACGCUGUAAACGAUGGAUACUCGCUGUUGGCGAUAUACUGUCAGCGGCCG